UGACGCUGGCGGCGUGCCUAAUACAUGCAAGUCGAACGAGUUCUCGUUGAUGAUCGGUGCUUGCACCGAGAUUCAACAUGGAACGAGUGGCGGACGGGUGAGUAACACGUGGGUAACCUGCCCUUAAGUGGGGGAUAACAUUUGGAAACAGAUGCUAAUACCGCAUAGAUCCAAGAACCGCAUGGUUCUUGGCUGAAAGAUGGCGUAAGCUAUCGCUUUUGGAUGGACCCGCGGCGUAUUAGCUAGUUGGUGAGGUAAUGGCUCACCAAGGCGAUGAUACGUAGCCGAACUGAGAGGUUGAUCGGCCACAUUGGGACUGAGACACGGCCCAAACUCCUACGGGAGGCAGCAGUAGGGAAUCUUCCACAAUGGACGCAAGUCUGAUGGAGCAACGCCGCGUGAGUGAAGAAGGCUUUCGGGUCGUAAAACUCUGUUGUUGGAGAAGAAUGGUCGGCAGAGUAACUGUUGUCGGCGUGACGGUAUCCAACCAGAAAGCCACGGCUAACUACGUGCCAGCAGCCGCGGUAAUACGUAGGUGGCAAGCGUUAUCCGGAUUUAUUGGGCGUAAAGCGAGCGCAGGCGGUUUUUUAAGUCUGAUGUGAAAGCCCUCGGCUUAACCGAGGAAGCGCAUCGGAAACUGGGAAACUUGAGUGCAGAAGAGGACAGUGGAACUCCAUGUGUAGCGGUGAAAUGCGUAGAUAUAUGGAAGAACACCAGUGGCGAAGGCGGCUGUCUGGUCUGUAACUGACGCUGAGGCUCGAAAGCAUGGGUAGCGAACAGGAUUAGAUACCCUGGUAGUCCAUGCCGUAAACGAUGAAUGCUAGGUGUUGGAGGGUUUCCGCCCUUCAGUGCCGCAGCUAACGCAUUAAGCAUUCCGCCUGGGGAGUACGACCGCAAGGUUGAAACUCAAAGGAAUUGACGGGGGCCCGCACAAGCGGUGGAGCAUGUGGUUUAAUUCGAAGCAACGCGAAGAACCUUACCAGGUCUUGACAUCUUUUGAUCACCUGAGAGAUCAGGUUUCCCCUUCGGGGGCAAAAUGACAGGUGGUGCAUGGUUGUCGUCAGCUCGUGUCGUGAGAUGUUGGGUUAAGUCCCGCAACGAGCGCAACCCUUAUGACUAGUUGCCAGCAUUUAGUUGGGCACUCUAGUAAGACUGCCGGUGACAAACCGGAGGAAGGUGGGGAUGACGUCAAAUCAUCAUGCCCCUUAUGACCUGGGCUACACACGUGCUACAAUGGAUGGUACAACGAGUUGCGAGACCGCGAGGUCAAGCUAAUCUCUUAAAGCCAUUCUCAGUUCGGACUGUAGGCUGCAACUCGCCUACACGAAGUCGGAAUCGCUAGUAAUCGCGGAUCAGCACGCCGCGGUGAAUACGUUCCCGGGCCUUGUACACACCGCCCGUCACACCAUGAGAGUUUGUAACACCCGAAGCCGGUGGCGUAACCCUUUUAGGGAGCGAGCCGUCUAAGGUGGGACAAA
rnacentral:rRNA from 2 species